rnacentral:rRNA from 1 species
AUUGAACGCUGGCGGCAGGCCUAACACAUGCAAGUCGAGCGGAUGAAGGGAGCUUGCUCCUGGAUUCAGCGGCGGACGGGUGAGUAAUGCCUAGGAAUCUGCCUGGUAGUGGGGGAUAACGUCCGGAAACGGGCGCUAAUACCGCAUACGUCCUGAGGGAGAAAGUGGGGGAUCUUCGGACCUCACGCUAUCAGAUGAGCCUAGGUCGGAUUAGCUAGUUGGUGGGGUAAAGGCCUACCAAGGCGACGAUCCGUAACUGGUCUGAGAGGAUGAUCAGUCACAAUGGAACUGAGACACGGUCCAGAAUCCUACGGGAGGCAGCAGUGGGGAAUAUUGGACAAUGGGCGAAAGCCUGAUCCAGCCAUGCCGCGUGUGUGAAGAAGGUCUUCGGAUUGUAAAGCACUUUAAGUUGGGAGGAAGGGCAGUAAGUUAAUACCUUGCUGUUUUGACGUUACCAACAGAAUAAGCACCGGCUAACUUCGUG